rnacentral:misc_RNA from 1 species
AACGCACGAGACCUGCGGACCUGCGGAGGGAUCAUUACCGAGUUUACAACUCCCAAACCCCAUGUGAACAUACCUGUUUCGUUCCCUCGGCGGUGUCCGGCAACGGCCCGCCAGAGGACCCAACAAACUCUUUUGAACUUUUCAGUAUCUUCUGAGUGAAAAAAACAAUAAAUCAAAACUUUUAGCAACGGAUCUCU